UUGACCAUAAGACUUACUGUCAGUUCUGGAGUUGACAUUCCAAUUCUGAAUGGGAGACAGCCAUUUUGUAGGAUCUGUUCGUGAGUGACACAUGACAAAAGAUCGAGGGGAUUCCACUUCUAGAGGGAUAACAGCUUCCACUCUAAUGGCUAGGAAAAAGGCAUAUUUUCGAUCUUGUUCAUGAUGUAGUUCUAUAAGAUCGGAGUAUACUGGGGAGAUCUUUCGUUCAUGCCCCUUUAAUUCAUCGAGUCAAGCAUCCAAGGUGUGCUUGAUAAUGUUGUUUACAGGUUCGACUUAGCCAUUGGUCAGAGGGUGAUAUGGGUAAAGAAGUGCUUAUUAAUUUUUAGCCCUUCAAAGAAGGACAAUAGUCUUGCGUUUUCAAAUUGUAUGACGUUAUUCAUAAAGAUUGAGUACAGG
rnacentral:lncRNA from 1 species